GGUGGUUCUGAGGUGACACACCCUGGAAUUGGGCUCUCUCCUCUCUGGUUCCAGGUGUGUCACCUGAGAACUGCA
rfam:Myotis lucifugus cont2.9988, whole genome shotgun sequence.